AGCGUACCCCUCUACCCUAGCUUGGUCGUCACUGCCGUGCCCUAGGUUUUCUCCUCGUAGGUGAGUGAGGUUUGGUGACAACGGGAUUAAGCUGUUGUUGGAGCUGAGGAAUCUGAUCAUUUUUCAUACACUUAGGAUUCUGAUUCGAGACGGGCGUCUCGACUUUGGAUUUGACCAGAUUGGACUUUACGAUUGG